CCUACGGGCGGCAGCAGUGAGGAAUAUUGGUCAAUGGCCGAGAGGCUGAACCAGCCAAGUCGCGUGAGGGAAGACGGCCCUACGGGCUGUAAACCUCUUUUGUCGGGGAGCAAAGAGAGUCACGUGUGAAACAUUGAGAGUACCCGAAGAAAAAGCAUCGGCAAACUCCGUGCCAGCAGCCGCGGUAAUACGGAGGAUGCGAGGGUUAUCCGGAUGUAUUGGGUUUAAAGGGUGCGCAGGCGGAGGGGCAAGUCAGCGGUCAAAUCGCGGGGCUCAACCCCGUACUGCCGUUGAAACUGCAUCCCUUGAGUGCGCGAGAAGUAUGCGGAAUGCGUGGUGUAGCGGUGAAAUGCAUAGAUAUCACGCAGAACUCCGAUUGCGAAGGCAGCAUACCGGCGCGCAACUGACGCUCAUGCACGAAAGCGUGGGUAUCGAACAGGAUUAGAUACCCUUGUAGUC
rnacentral:rRNA from 1 species